AGUGAACGCUGGCGGUAGGCCUAACACAUGCAAGUCGAACGGCAGCACAGUAAGAGCUUGCUCUUACGGGUGGCGAGUGGCGGACGGGUGAGGAAUACAUCGGAAUCUACUUUUUCGUGGGGGAUAACGUAGGGAAACUUACGCUAAUACCGCAUACGACCUACGGGUGAAAGCAGGGGAUCUUCGGACCUUGCGCGAUUGAAUGAGCCGAUGUCGGAUUAGCUAGUUGGCGGGGUAAAGGCCCACCAAGGCGACGAUCCGUAGCUGGUCUGAGAGGAUGAUCAGCCACACUGGAACUGAGACACGGUCCAGGCUCCUACGGGAGGCAGCAGUGGGGAAUUUUGGACAAUGGGCGCAAGCCUGAUCCAGCCAUACCGCGUGGGUGAAGAAGGCCUUCGGGUUGUAAAGCCCUUUUGUUGGGAAAGAAAAGCAGCAGGUUAAUACCCCGCUGUUCUGACGGUACCCAAAGAAUAAGCACCGGCUAACUUCGUG
rnacentral:rRNA from 1 species